UCCCCUGUAGCUCAAUUGGCAGAGCAGCCGGCUGUUAACCGGCAGGUUGUUGGUUCGAGUCCAACCGGGGGAGCAA
rnacentral:tRNA from 1 species